GGUGCCCUGCCCCGGGAGAUUUAGGGGUGCCCAGGUCUGGGGGAUUUGGGGUGCCCGGCCCCGGGGGGAUUUGGGGUGCCCAGCCCCGGGGGGAUUU